rnacentral:rRNA from 1 species
UACGAAGGGUGCAAGCGUUACUCGGAAUUACUGGGCGUAAAGCGUGCGUAGGUGGUUUGUUAAGUCUGUUGUGAAAGCCCCGGGCUCAACCUGGGAAUGGCAAUGGAUACUGGCAGGCUAGAGUGCGGUAGAGGGUAGUGGAAUUCCCGGUGUAGCGGUGAAAUGCGUAGAGAUCGGGAGGAACACCAGUGGCGAAGGCGGCUACC